rnacentral:tRNA from 1 species
CCUUCGAUAGCUCAGUUGGUAGAGCGGAGGACUGUAGUGGACUACAUGCGUUGUAAUCCUUAGGUCGCUGGUUCGAAUCCGGCUCGAAGGA